rnacentral:rRNA from 1 species
GACGAACCGUGCGAACGUUAUUCGGAAUCACUGGGCUUAAAGCGCGUGUAGGCGGGGAGGCACGUCCGACGUUGAAAUCCCCCGGCUCAACCGGGGAACUGGCGCGGAUACGACCUUCCUGGAGGGGCGUAGGGGGACCUGGAACUUCCGGUGGAGCGGUGAAAUGCGUUGAGAUCGGAAGGAACGCCCGUGGCGAAAGCGAGGUCCUGGACGCCUACUGACGCUGAGACGCGAAAGCCAGGGAGCGAACGGG